AGAAUCAACGCUGGCGGCGUGCCUAACACAUGCAAGUCGCACGAGAAAGGGACUUCGGUCCUGAGUACAGUGGCGCACGGGUGAGUAACACGUGAAUAAUCUACCUCCGAGUGGGGAAUAAACUGAGAGAAAUCUUAGCUAAUACCGCAUAACACUUACGAGUCAAAGCAGCAAUGCGCUUGGAGAGGAGUUCGCGGCAGAUUAGUUAGUUGGCGGGGUAAUGGCCCACCAAGACGAUGAUCUGUAUCCGGCCUGAGAGGGCGCACGGACACACUGGAACUGAAACACGGUCCAGACUCCUACGGGAGGCAGCAGUGGGGAAUUUUGCGCAAUGGGGGAAACCCUGACGCAGCAACGCCGCGUGGAGGAUGAAAUCCCUUGGGAUGUAAACUCCUUUCGAUCGGGAAGAUAAUGACGGUACCGAGAGAAGAAGCCCCGGCUAACUUCGCGCCAGCAGCCGC
rnacentral:rRNA from 1 species